GGAAAUGUGAACUGCUGCCUGAUGUAUCUUAAUGAAGCCUUUGACAAAAGUUUCUUCAUCUUUGCAGGAAAGGUUUUGUCCUGCCUUGCUUUUCUAUUGCUGUGACAAAACACAGAUCAAAACCGACUCAGGGGUAUAGCUUCCGUGUCCUUUUUGGAGACAUCCUCCCUGUGGCUAUGAGGAUCAAUAUGGAACACACCAACAAACUGCCACCUCUGCUUCCCAGGAUCAAGAGGGGAAAGACCAGAGUUGCAACAUGUCAGUCUCUAGUUCCUCUAAGUGAAGGAGCACAGCACAUUUCACUCUUCCUUGGACAUGAAUCUGUUCCUGACUGUUGUGGUACCGUAUAUAGGAUAAUAGUGGAGGUCCAUUCAUCCUCAUGUGGAGUCUCACUGGAAGACAGUUUCCAAUGCCUGGUGUCAGUGAUCCACUGAGCCUCCCUUUGCUCCUCUGCCUCUCAGCCUUCAUCAACAGCUCUCUAAGAUUGGUGCUAAUAGGAUUUUCUCACUGCAUGGGGUUGGGAGCUGUCUGUCCAAUUUUGAAGUUUUAUCCCAGUGAUUUUACAACUGGGUGAGGGCUCCUGCCUACUUGGCACCUUUCACUUUUUUUUUUUGUUUUGCUUUAUAAGAGAUUCCAGAAAAUGGCAAAGAUACAAACUAUGGACAGAGGUGCACCGAUCUUCAGGAUGAGGUCUGUGUAUACAGACAUGUGCCCUAUACUUGAACCUACCUAUCUUCCCUGUUUGUGAGUAACUAUCACAGCCUGUUCUUAAGUAGUUCAAUGUUAGAAAUAUAGGGACAGGGCACAUUCCAGGAGAAACCAUGGUAGUAGAUCAGUCAUUUUAUUAACAAUUAUAUACACAAUGUUAGGGCAAAACAUGUACAGUAAGACUGAUCACUGCAAGGCUUUACAUCUGCAUUGUAAGAGAUCCAUAGAAAUCAGGUUAUAAUUCUGGCUUCUUGUAGAUAGGCUCCUGUGAGGGUUUAAGGAAACCUAGGAACCCAUGUCUAGUCUUUGAACAUGCCAACAAACAUACCUCCAGAGGAGGAAGUCCUGGGGUUUCUAUUACACAUUUUUAUUAAAGUUGUGUCUGUA